GAUUCUGGCUCAGAUUGAACGCUGGCGGCGUGCUUAACACAUGCAAGUCGCGCGUGAAAGGACUUCGGUCCGAGUAAAGCGGCGCACGGGUGAGUAACGCGUGGAUGAUCUACCCAUGAGUUAGGAAUAACGGCUGGAAACGGUCGCUAAUACCAAAUACGCUCCGAUUUCAACUUCGGGGGAAAGGUGGCCUCUGCUUGCAAGCUACUGCUCAUGGAUGAGUCCGCGUCCCAUUAGCUAGUUGGUGGGGUAACGGCCCACCAAGGCGACGAUGGGUAGCCGGUCUGAGAGGAUGACCGGCCACACUGGGACUGGAACACGGCCCAGACUCCUACGGGAGGCAGCAGUGGGGAAUAUUGCGCAAUGGGCGAAAGCCUGACGCAGCGACGCCGCGUGAGGGGAAUGAAGGUCCUCGGAUCGUAAACCUCUGUCAGGAGGGAAGAACCGCCACGGUGCUAAUCAGCCGUGGUCUGACGGUACCUCCAAAGGAAGCACCGGCUAACUCCGUGCCAGCCGCCGC
rnacentral:rRNA from 1 species